UUCCUGUUAACUCAGUGGUCAGAGUGUCGUGCUUAUGCGGAAAAAUCUCCAACGAGACCAUCACGAAGGUCGAGGGUUCAACUCCCCCACGGGAAA